rnacentral:rRNA from 1 species
CCUACGGGCGUCAGCAGUGAGGAAUAUUGGUCAAUGGACGAGAGUCUGAACCAGCCAAGUAGCGUGAAGGAUGACUGCCCUAUGGGUUGUAAACUUCUUUUAUAUGGGAAUAAAACGUUCCACGUGUGGGAUUUUGUAUGUACCAUAUGAAUAAGGAUCGGCUAACUCCGUGCCAGCAGCCGCGGUAAUACGGAGGAUCCGAGCGUUAUCCGGAUUUAUUGGGUUUAAAGGGAGCGUAGGUGGAUUGUUAAGUCAGUUGUGAAAGUUUGCGGCUCAACCGUAAAAUUGCAGUUGAAACUGGCAGUCUUGAGUACAGUAGAGGUGGGCGGAAUUCGUGGUGUAGCGGUGAAAUGCUUAGAUAUCACGAAGAACUCCGAUUGCGAAGGCAGUUCACUGGACUGCAACUGACACUGAGGCUCGAAAGUGUGGGUAUCAAACAGGAUUAGAUACCCGUGUAGUC